ACAUGCCUACAUCAUAAUGUUAAUGCAUUGGAUCCCAUUAGAAUUUUGCAGUUAAGUGCGCUCAUGCUAGAGUAGUACUGGGAUGGGUGACUGCCUGGGAAGUCCUAGUGUUUUACAUGCC
rnacentral:rRNA from 1 species